rnacentral:lncRNA from 10 species
AUAAUAUAUGUGUAAGAAUCAGCUUUUUUUUUUUUAACUAUAAUAUCCUUCAGAAAUUUCUAACUACUUUGUAACUGCAUGGCUUAACCUGGUGAUAAAAGCAGUUAUUAAAAGUCUACAUUUUUUUUUAAAAAAAGAAUAGAACAAAUAAUGGGAGCAUUGGGUUGACCUUUGCAAAUUAUCUAGUUUUAUUUACCUAUUUUACACAGGAGAAGACUGAGAGAAGGGAGGAGUAGCUUGCUGUAGUUCAGACAGCAACUUAUUUCAAAGCUGGUGCUAAAACCUAGAGUGAACUGGUACUUCUCCAUUUCUGAAGGAAAUGCAGAAGAAACAGAAGCAGAAAGACAACAUUUUGGCCUGGACAUAUUUAACUUAAAGAUGACUCCAUUUUUGAACUUUAUUUCUUG